CCUCGUGAUUAACAUGUCAGAUCAUGAUGCUCCAGAUGGAGAGUAAAAACUGGUUCAACAUUGAUGGAAGAGUAGAAGAAGUCAUCAGUGCCGGUCUAAGAGUUUGCGAUGCUGACUCACAUUGUCGAUGGACCUGAGCCGGAUUCCCACCUUCCCAUCCUGGUCCUUACAGAGGAUAAUCUCCCGCAGCCCUGGGCGGAUCUCUGCCCUCCUGAUGCCUACGUCCG